AACGAACGCUGGCGGCAUGCCUAACACAUGCAAGUCGAACGAGACCUUCGGGUCUAGUGGCGCACGGGUGCGUAACGCGUGGGAACCUGCCCUUAGGUUCGGAAUAACUCCCCGAAAGGGGUGCUAAUACCGGAUAAUGUCUUCGGACCAAAGAUUUAUCGCCUUUGGAUGGGCCCGCGUUGGAUUAGCUAGUUGGUAGGGUAAAAGCCUACCAAGGCGACGAUCCAUAGCUGGUCUGAGAGGAUGAUCAGCCACACUGGGACUGAGACACGGCCCAGACUCCUACGGGAGGCAGCAGUGGGGAAUAUUGGACAAUGGGCGAAAGCCUGUUCCAGCAAUGCCGCGUGAGUGAUGAAGGCCGUAGGGUUGUAAAGCUCUUUUACCCGGGAUGAUAAUGACAGUACCGGGAGAAUAAGCUCCGGCUAACUCCGUG
rnacentral:rRNA from 1 species